rnacentral:rRNA from 1 species
UGGGGAAUUUUGGACAAUUGGGGAAACCCUGAUCCAGCCAUCCCGCGUGUGCGAUGAAGGCCUUCGGGUUGUAAAGCACUUUUGGCAGGAAAGAAACGUCAUGGGUUAAUACCCCGUGAAACUGACGGUACCUGCAGAAUAAGCACCGGCUAACUACGUGCCAGCAGCCGCGGUAAUACGUAGGGUGCAAGCGUUAAUCGGAAUUACUGGGCGUAAAGCGUGCGCAGGCGGUUCGGAAAGAAAGAUGUGAAAUCCCAGAGCUCAACUUUGGAACUGCAUUUUUAACUACCGGGCUAGAGUGUGUCAGAGGGAGGUUGAAUUCCGCGUGUAGCAGUGAAAUGCGUAGAUAUGCGGAGGAACACCGAUGGCGAAGGCAGCCUCCUGGGAUAACACUGACGCUCAUGCACGAAAGCGUGGGGAGCAAACAGG